rnacentral:rRNA from 1 species
AGAGUUUGAUCAUGGCUCAGGAUGAACGCUAGCGACAGGCUUAACACAUGCAAGUCGAGGGGCAGCGGGGGUAGCAAUACCCGCCGGCGACCGGCGCACGGGUGAGUAACGCGUAUCCAACCUGCCCACCACUUGGGGAUAACCUUGCGAAAGUAAGACUAAUACCCAAUGAUAUCUCUAGAAGACAUCUGAAAGAGAUUAAAGAUUUAUCGGUGAUGGAUGGGGAUGCGUCUGAUUAGCUUGUUGGCGGGGUAACGGCCCACCAAGGCAACGAUCAGUAGGGGUUCCGAGAGGAAGGUCCCCCACAUUGGAACUGAGACACGGUCCAAACUCCUACGGGAGGCAGCA